rnacentral:lncRNA from 1 species
UCUUUAUAUGUUUAUUUAUUUUCUCUUCAUGUACUAGGCCCAAGAGCUGGGCACAGACAUUGUUCUAACAGCUGGAUGCUGCCUCAAACUGGACUUCGUGUAUUCAUCUGUAGCUCUCUGCUGCUCUCUGCUGUCCAGCAAACCUUUGCACCUCGCUCUGAAAAAUAAUCCACAGAAAUCUAAGAAGCUUAGAUCACUGAAGAGCAAGUUAAUCAUCCCACAAUACAGGCAGAAGUGUGUCGAUUUUCUCCACGUUAAUAUACAUAUCUCUCGGGGACUGUGGAAGCAUCUAAGGAACAGAAAGCUCAACGCUGUUUGAAUAAGAAUAUGUGCUGACUGGCUCAGGAAGAGAGGAAGGGAUCACUGAAAUAAUUGUUCCACCUUUUCUGUCUUUUCCCACAGCAAGAAAUCUAAGGGGAGAAGAUUUACGGUCUGGAUAUCCACCAGUCAACAGUCCUGAAUAGUCUUUUCCUACACUCUGGCAACCAGAAACAAUUCCAUGACAGAAUCACAGAAUCACAGGACGGCCAAGGUUGGAAGGGACCUCUGGAGAUCAUCUAGUCCAAGCCCCCUGCUCAAGCAGGGUCAUCUGGAGCACAUUGCACAGGAUCAUGUCCAGGUGGAUUUUGAAUAUCUCCAGGGAAGGAGACUCCACAACCUGUCUGACAUUCAUAGCAGUACUCCCUUGUCCUCUACAUCACUGCAAGAAUCCCAGCCAGACCACCCGGACACGCGUGUCUUGGUGCCUAAAUGCUGGACAGACUAUUGGACACACAUGUCUUGGUGACUGAGUGUAUAGGUAUGAGAAUGUGACUGAAUCAAACUGGUUUUGUUUCAAAAUAAGAUCACUCUCCUCUCCUAUAAGGUCUUGCAUUGAGUUUUGCUACAACGCUACAAAGUUAUUUCUGAUAAGAGAACAUUAGGGAAAGGCCUUUAUGUUUAAUCUCUGAAUACGCAUUUAUGAUUUUACAAUAUUACACUGUUAUCCUAAAUGUCACAGAUAAUUAGUCUGAAUUAAAAAUAAUUCAAUCACAGGAAGGAAAGAAGUCAUAAAUUGCUGGGAAAGGGAUCAUUUUUGUAUUAAAACUGAAAGGGUAAAGCUGAGUUUUCAGGAAAGGUUACAAUUUUGCUGUCAAAACUUCUCUGACUUUGGAGAAUAAUUAAUUCUACAAACCAUGGGCCAGAGUCUGCUCUGACUUUGGUGAUCUAAAGUUAAUGGAAAACGAAGUACUGCUGUAGUAACAGCAGGUGGAAUUAUA